UACAGAGGUCUCAAGCGUUGUUCGGAAUCACUGGGCGUAAAGCGUGCGUAGGCGGUUCGUUAAGUUCGUUGUGAAAGCCCCGGGCUCAACCUGGGAACUGCAAUGGAAACUGGCGGGCUUGAGUGUGGCAGAGGGGGGUGGAAUUCCGCGUGUAGCAGUGAAAUGCGUAGAGAUGCGGAGGAACACCGAUGGCGAAGGCAGCCCCCUGGGCCAACACUGACGCUCAGGCACGAAAGCGUGGGGAGCAAACAGG
rnacentral:rRNA from 1 species